GCUGCCUACUUGUGCUGUCUUUCUAUCUCUCUAUCAGGUAAAUAAAUAGGAUAUUUUUUAAAAAUAUAUUUAGAUUGCAAUUUAACUACUGCCAUCCAUCCAUUAACAAAUUUAUCAAUACAAACACAAUUCAGGUCUCAUUUUUUUCUUUAGCUUUUUAGGACUUAUGAAACUGGCAGGAUUUUCUGUUCCUGCCAUUGUUGGUUUUCUUUAUGGUUAAGAGGUAAGAAAAUUUGAUAGGAUUUUAAACUCAAGCAAAAGCUAUAAAAGUAAGACCAAUGCCCUAAUACCAUUGUGGAAACGGAGCAGCUUUUAUACCAGCUUUCUUAGUUUUAAAAGGAAGAGGCAUCAUUGCAGUUCUAUUUCUGUUACAUCCUUUCCCUCAGAUAUUUUCAUCUUUUUUUUAUUAUUAUUAAAAAAAAAAAAAAAACUUCGCAAAAGUUGCUUCCCAAAAGACUCCACACUAUCUCUUCUUUCCCCAUGCCGAGACUUGGGAGUAGAACCUUAAAAGCUUGCUGAGCAGCGUUCAUCUAGCCUGUCAUGUGUUUCUGUCCCCAUAGUGAGGAGACAUUACAGAAGCUAACUCUUCACCAUGGAAAACAUGGGAACGUUAUCACAGCCACUUCCGUCUAGCCCAUGGGGCUUUGGUCUUUCAUCCUUAGAGUCACUGGUCUCCUUUUCAUCUUUGAUGUCAGUUCCGAUUAUUUGGCAUCAAAGCCUUCGUGGUAGGAAGAGUUUGAGUGCCCUGCCUUCUGCUAGCUGAUCUGAAAUACAGAAUGUGAAGAGUGAACAUUUACUCAUCUACUCCUUUGGCUGCUGGAACUCAUCGGCAGUCCUUUAUUACUCGUACUGAUUUCUGAUUCCACUUCUGCUUUCCCUAAAUAGGUUAGAGCAUCCUAUUUGCCUAUUGCUGAGUUGUAGAACUUUCUCUCCUGGAGGUGUAAAACAGAGUGUUUGGGAUAUUCAGGGAACCCACCCAAAAGUUAUAUUGCUAUUUACUGGGAAGGGUUGGGAUCAUAAGUAUUUCUGUGUUCUGUAAAGGAUUUCACUUACUGGUUCUCAAUAAAAUUUUAUUAGGACUCUA